GGCAAGAUGGCCGAGCGGUCUAAGGCGCUAGCUUCAGGUCAUUAUCAAUGACUUUCAUGCUAGUCCGAAAGGGCGUGGGUUCGAAUCCCACUCUUGUCA